AAAUCAUAUUUCUUUUGAAAUUAUUAUCAAAUCAAAUUCCUAUUGCAUAUAAUGUGAAAAAUUUAUUGAAGAAAUUUCUCAUAAUUUCAGAAAUAGUCUGUUACUUAGAAAACAUAAAUCUGUCCGCGGCUUAUCAAAACAUAUUUGUAAAGAAUAUUUUUCGAUUUUGUUGGAAGUUCAAUAAACCCGAGUGGCGCGGGUAAUCGACUAAUUCAAUAAGCUAUGAAAAUUAUCAACAGUCCUCCAUUAGACCCCCGGGACCCGCUCUCCACUAUCGGACUAUCAGGCCAAAUUAAAACAUAGCGCUUGUAAUUGGGCAUAAAAAGGAUAACAUCGCUGACAGCCAUCCGAGCCUUAUCAGGGAGUUCGGGGAGUACUACAAGUACUGGAAGGCCUUCCCCAACUCCAAAUGCCAUUGAGGCUGUCGUCUCCAUCUAAUCGGGAGGCAUAACGCUUGAGUAGCCCCAAAACGCUUAUCGCCGCCACUCGAUUCACUCGCACAAAAGACGUGUAAUUAUUAUGCGGCGGUUAGGGAGAGAUAACCCUUACUAAGCGGCCCCGUCACCCCACACGAAACCCAGACUCGCGUUCUGUCCCAGAGCCGGCAAGAUUUAUGGACCAGCUCUGACAAUUAGCGCUGAUAACUUUCGGUUUUAUUCCGAUUCGAUGUGCUUCGGCUUUUGGGUUCCUUCUCUAGGUUUUCCAAAUUGAAAUUGGCUGUCUAAUUUGUUGAGUUAUGGCGCCAAGUUCAGACCGCCAAUGUAAUUAUUAAAUACGAAGGAAAUUACUCAUGCAUAGGAAAAUAUGAACCUCUUCUCCAGAAGGCAGCUGUCGUCUCAGAGGAAAGGCGUGUCUCUGACUUUGCCCAAACAUUAACCGGUAGUUAGUCCGAUUAGAGAAAGGUUCUCCAGUGGUAAAUAUUGUGCCACUCAGACGGCUUUCUCCGCGAAGCGUGCUCAGAAAGCCGCACAACCAUAACUGGCGCCAGAGGUGGACACUUGUCGCACAUUCCGCCACGGUCGCUUUCUUUGAGGAUCUUCUUACAGCUGAAGAAUGGAAGAGAAAUGCUUUCUUUAGGGGGAGUUGUCCUGCCAUGGCACGGCUCAUUAACAUCGCUCAUAUUCUUCACGCCAACAGCAAGGAUUGUAAUGGUGUCUAAUGAACAAAAGGAUUGUCUUCGAAUGAGGUCUGAGAUGUAUGUAUUUUAGGGAGUAGCUCAACUAUUCCCCAAUAAUACAUAUGUAUAUACACUAUCCGAUAAUUAACCCCUGUUAAUAAAUUCAUCUUUAAUCUACUAUGACAUAUCAAGGGCCAUUUAAUGUCGAGAAAUACAUGGAGGCAAUUUAAUCAAACUACUGACACACAAGGCAUGAAAUGUCUAUACAAUUUUCAUCGAAAUUUAUUGUUAUUGUUUAGUGACUUCCCAGUUAAAUGGCUGGGAAGGUCCGGCAUGCAAAUGACAUUUCGGCAAUUGCAUUAAUGGCGGCGAUUGUCUCGCCUCGAAAAGGGAGUUGCAGAUAUUUGGCCAUCCAGGGAUAUGAGGGGUCCAUACUGGUCCAGGGACUGGGCACAUUCAUGCCGGUCAAUUGCCAAAAUGACAUUAUUAACAUCCAGUCAGGCGGGUAGCUCCGAUUGAGGGUAUUAUUAUUGUUAUCCUUUCAACGCAAAAUGGCCGCCUGACAUGGCCAUAGUUUCGGCAUUCAAAUUUUCGCCAUUGUUUGCAGCUAACUGUGCGUGCCGAGCGGAUCGCCGAGCGGUAUUGAAAGCCCAAGCCCAGCGGGCAUCUGACGGCCAGCGAUUAAAAUCUUUGGGAAAUGAGAAGCCAUAUGGGAACAAAGUGUAUGUGUCCAUACUUGGACUUGUUACUUAUUGUGAAAAUAGUGUUUGAAACUUCACAAUUUUCCGAUUAAUCUGCUUCCGCUUGAUAGAAGAGCACAUCAAAUUGUUAACUUUAACAAAUGUUUAUUAAUUUUUCGAAUAUAAUUGAUAAUUAUAGAGCCACUGAUGAGGAUCGAUGACUCUGGAUGCGUCAGGACCUGAUCCUGAUCCAAUUACGAGCCGAGGAAAUUCCCACACCAGGACGGAAAUACGAGAGGCAAAAACACAACCAGCAUUCUGGUUUAUCUCAACUAGACAAUCUUCAAGAUGCGACAGAUGGGAGGGAGAAUGGCCAAAAGACGCAAAGUCAAGCUGGCUACUUGCCCUCGGUUCAAGUAUACAAAUAAAUUUCAAUGUUAAUUUAAAUGGAAUUCAUUACGGGAAAAUAUCCGGCAAACCGAACCGAGCACUCCAUUAUAAAUCAAGUUAAAAUUUUCGUAAAUUCAUCGCCACUUUAGUUAACCCCUAAUGACUUCUAUGCUGGAAUUGUUUUGGGCAAUCAAGUCAGGCCUGGCCCAGGGUCCUCUGACCAACCCCCGAGUGUUAAAUUAGACCCCGGCAUAGGGGAGGAUUUCGAAAAGAACGAAGGGACCGCGAGGACGAGGCAAAAGGUGCAAAAUGCACAAAUGAGUAUAAAUAUUUUCACAAUUAACGAAAAAUUAAAUGCGACAAAGAUGGCAUGGCCAUGGUAAAAAGCGGCAGCCGCAGUGAUCUAGCAAAAUCUACACUGAAAAAAAUAUACUGAGCCUACUGAGAGAUAUUUUUUAUUUAGCUAAUGGACAAAUCUAAAUUGAAUUUCGGUUUAUUUCUAAAAUAAUAAAUG